rnacentral:rRNA from 1 species
AGCUCCAAUAGCGUAUAUUAAAGUUGUUGUGGUUAAAAAGCUCGUAGUUGGAUCUCAACAGCCUUGAAGCGGUUAACUUUGUAGUUUUACUGCUUUGUAGGCUGUGCUUUUGCUGGAGGUUUAGGGGUGCUCUUGAUCGAGUGUCUCUGGAUGCCAGCAGGUUUACUUUGAAAAAAUUAGAGUGCUCAAAGCAAGCUUACUGCUUGAAUAGUUGCGCAUGGAAUAAUAGAAUAGGAAGUCGUUUCUAUUUUGUUGGUUUUCGGAAAUCGACUUAAUGAUUAAUAGGGAUAGUCGGGGGCAUUCGUAUUCAAACGACAGAGGUGAAAUUCUUGGACCGUUUGAAGUCGAACUAAGGCGACAGCAUUUGCCAAGAAUGUUUUCA